rnacentral:lncRNA from 1 species
GAAAUACAUUAAAAAAGAAAUUCCUCUCCUUUCACAGGAGACAAAAAUAAGACUUUAUUAGCUCUCCUUUUCAAAGGCAAAUGGAAAAAGAAAGAGCAAUAGAUGUAUCAUAAUAAGUGUAAAGCUUCAGGUUUUAUUAUACUAUUAUAAUGAGGAGUGAGGAGGAAACAGAUCAAUACAUCUUCCGUUUUAUUGCAGGUGUGGAUUUGCUCUUCUUGAAGGUUACAGAGAGCAUAGGUAAUGUAUCUUAACUAAUUCCAAUCCAACUUUUGGGGAACUGGUGGAGGCACUUUCAGCCGUGAAUUUCUGAAGUUAACCUUUCUAGAACUAUAUUAGAAAAUAAGAAAACCAGUGCUUUUUGUCAAGUUUAUUCCAGAUGCCUACCAAUGACUUAGGCCUGAUGUUUCUUCAACUGCCAUGUGAGACACUGAAAUGCAGCUAAUGCAGCAGAAUGGAACCUACAACUUUAAUAAGUCUGCUUUUUGGAAUCCAGUCCAAGAGAAAAGGAACAUCCUACUUUGUCAGAGAAAAAUGGGCUUUCUUCCAAGGAGAAAAAUCCAAAUUUCCAGUUAUAACAAACUUAGAAGCAAUUACAACUAAUACCUGUGUCAGGGAAGUGAAGAUAUGUAACAACCUCUAAAUUAAGUAAAGGAUGACAAAUGAAAUAGAAAAAAGAUUUCCUAAAACACGGCUAAUGACCACCAACAAUCAGUAAGUACGGAUCACCAGUGCUGACAUAUUUUAAACUAAGCAAUAUCAGUUCAUGGUAUUUGCUAAUGCU